UCAUCCUAACAUCCAAUGGCAUUCCGAGGGCCUCAAAUCUUGCAUAACUUUACGAGUAUAAAGGGGGGUAGGGAUGUGAAGAAACCCGACUCUUUGGAGCAGAAAAUAUUACACAGAAAUCUAGAAGCUUUUCAGUUUUAAAACUGUAAAAUUUUCCAAAUUUAUCUUCAGCGAAGAGGAGAGAGAAGCAUCAAUGGGAUUAUUCUGGACCGCGUUGAUCGGCGUUAGGGCGCAUGCAAUUCUGAAGUGCCUGCAAAAAAUGUUCCAGCUUCGGAGGAACAAACCCCAACCACCAUGUUGCUUAGACAAUUUGAGUUGAGGAAUGUAAAAUUUCGUCCUGAUUCGAGAUAGAUUUGCCUUCUCUCUGUCUCUUUCUCUGUCUUUUAGAAUCAUUAUUUAGUUUAUUUUUAAAAAGUCGCAUUCCAAAAAGGCCAGUUUCGUGUUCUUAGUGCAAAACUAAAAUAAAAAUAAUAAUAAUAAAUGGUUUCUUUCUGAAUUUAAAAGAUAUGACAAAACACUCUCGUAAUUCCAUUCAUUGGAAUAUGCAUUCAUGGAGCUGCUGUGUAACACAGACCCACAUUCCUGUAAUCAUUUUGCAGGCGGUGCCUUGUCAGUAGUACUUUGUGUUCUCUGUAUCCUCAGACUGCCUUCAGGCUGCAGAAUCACAGAGUCUCACCAGGACACCAAGCUGCGGCCUAUUCGACUCGAUGCGCCACUUCAGCCUGUAGUAACACAGACUAACCUGCAUCUGCUACAACCUUGCUGUUCUUUAUACUUGGUAAAAAUAACAAAGUGUCACAUUUAAAUCUCCGAUUCUGGCAUAAAAUACAAGUCUGAGAAAAUGCUUUUUUCUUUUUAACUUUUUUUUUUUUAAAAGCCUUUCUAAAUUGUUCCGUCCUGGUUAGAUCAAAGCAAACAGUGCUAUCUAACAAUAUGUUUUGAUACAUUGGUCUCCAUGAAACUUCUCGACGAAAAUGUUGUUUUAAGUUCAACAUAAUUUAAUAUUUUAAGGAUAGAAUAAACGCACAAAAGCCAAACUGCUCCUCCGACUCACCCAGGCUACAGGGGCAGCUUUAUCAGGCCUGUGCAUCACCAGUAAAACCCUACAAAUACAAGGCCAAUAAAUCGCUCGCUCUGC